AACAUCCUGAUAUUUUGUGCUUAAAUGAUUUACCUAGUAGGAGAAAACCAGCUCUGUCUGUGCACUACAAACUCUUUGAAGGCAGUCAUGUCGAGGAUAUUGUCAUGACAUCUGCCAUGAAGAGACCAACCUCAAAAGUUGGAGCAAUUGUUGAGCUUAAGGAGACAUGCAAAGAGCUAGGUGAAGGGAUUAGGGUAGCUACAACUAGAAUACAAUCUUUGGAAGCCUUGAUUGCAAGCUUCAAGCAGGCUGAGGGUGAAAAUGUUCAACAUGCU
rnacentral:lncRNA from 1 species